rnacentral:rRNA from 1 species
CUGCGGAAGGAUCAUUAAAUGAAGCAACCUAGGAGCCUGAGAUAUGGCCACCGGGCACACCUUCCACCCUUUGUUUAUCACACUUUGUUGCUUUGGCAGGCCUGCCUCCGGGCUACCGGCUCCGGCCGGCGAGCGCCUGCCAGAGGACCCAAACUCUGUUUGUCUGUAACGUCUGAGUACUAUAUAAUAGUUAAAACUUUCAACAACGGAUCUCUUGGUUCUGGCAUCGAUGAAGAACGCAGCGAAAUGCGAUAAGUAAUGUGAAUUGCAGAAUUCAGUGAAUCAUCGAAUCUUUGAACGCACAUUGCGCCCCCUGGUAUUCCGGGGGGCAUGCCUGUCCGAGCGUCAUUACAACCCUCAAGCCUAGCUUGGUGUUGGGCUCCGCCGCCUGGCGGGCCCUAAAGUCAGUGGCGGUGCCGUCCGGCUCCGAGCGUAGUAAUUCUUCUCGCUCUGGAGGCCUGGGCGCGUGCUUGCCAGCAACCCCCCAAUUUUAUCAGGUUGACCUCGGAUCAGGUAGGGAUACCCGCUGAACUUAAGCA